GAACAAGGAAUGGGGGGGCCAAAGCAAGUUCGAUAUAAUGCGGUCUCACUUAUAAUACAAUGAGAUUUUUUGUCUCUCAAGGACUGCGUUAUAUCGGGUUAGAGGUGUAGUAGCUGACCUGACCAGAACAGAAGGCAGGCAUCGGAAAUCGCGCCCUUGCCCAGACCCCUCCUGGAGCAGAACCGGGGACACCAACAGUUCUGCCUGGUCGCAAAGAGGUCCACUUUGGGGAGUGCCCCACAUUCGGAAGAUCAUGUGAGCCACCUCCGGGUGUAGCAAUCACUCGUGUUGGGAGAAGUCCCGGCUCAGGCGAUCUGCUCGAGAGUUCUGAAUGUCCAGUAAGUGGUGGGCUUCCAAGUUGAUAUUGUGGGCGAUGCAGAAGUACCACAGCUGGAGCGUUUCCUGGCAGAGGGCUGAGGAGCAGGCCCUGCUUUGCCUGUUGAUGUAGAACAUCGAGGUCAUGUUGGCCAUGAGAACUCUGACUACCCUGCUCGUAAGACACAAGCAAAAGGCCACGCAGGCCAGAUGGACUGCUUGGAGUUGUCUGACGUUUAUGUGCAGGGCUAGUUCCUCUGCAGACCACAGACCUUGGGUCUGGGGCUCCCCACCCCAAGUCUGACACAUCAGACACCAACGCUAUAGUUGGGGAGCAGUUCCUGAAUGGGACCCCUCGGAGAAUGUUCUCUGGGGUGGACCACCAGAGGAGGGAGGCUAGUACGGACUCGGGCACGGCGAGGACUUUAUCCAACCUGUCUCUGGACUGGGAGAAUGUUGAGGUCAGCUGUGCACGCUGCCAUGUGACCCAGGAGUUGGAGGCACGCCCUGGCAGUUGUCACAGGAAACAUCAUGAUAGCCCUGAUGAGAUCCCUCAAGGUUUCGAACCUGUCCAUCAGGAGGGAAGUUCUGGCUGAUGUCGUGUCGAGAAUCGUGCCAAUAAACUCUAUUUGUUGUACUGGUACCAAUGUGGAUUUGGUGUUGUUUACCAGCAGCCCCAGUGUGGUGCAUGUGGACAGGAGAAGUGUUACAUAGUCCUGUACCUGAGUUGGAGCUGCCUUUGAUCAGCCAGUCAUUGAGGUAGGGGAAGUUCUGGACCCCCCCGCCCCCCGACGCCUGAGGUAGGCCACCACCACAGACAUACACUUUGUGAAGACUCUGGAUGCUGUCAAGAGGCCAAACGAGAGGACAGUGAACUGGUAGCGUUCUUGUCCUACCGUGAAGCGGAGGAAACGCCUGUGGCCCUCAAAUAUGUGAAUGUGGAAGGCCUUGCCAUUGAAGGGGACGUCCUGCAGGGAGCUCUGUGCCUUGCUGGACAACACAGACAAGAUGAGCCAUGAUGCCCUCUGCAUGGACACUGCAGAGGCCAUAGUUCUCGCUGCCAUGUCUGCUGCGUCCGAGGCUGCCUGAAGGACUGCUUUGGCAGCAGCGGUGCCCUCCUCCACCAGGGCCUCAUACUCCUUCCUAUCAUGCUCCUGGAGGGAGUCCAUAAACUUUGGCAUUGAGCCCCACAAGUUAAAAUCAUAUCUGCCCAGCAGGGCUUGGUGGUUUGCUACCCUCAGCUGGAAGCCUGAAGAAGAAUAAAGCUUUCUACCAAACAA